UACGUAGGGUGCAAGCGUUAAUCGGAAUUACUGGGCGUAAAGCGUGCGCAGGCGGCUUUGCAAGACAGAUGUGAAAUCCCCGGGCUUAACCUGGGAACUGCAUUUGUGACUGCAUGGCUGGAGUGCGGCAGAGGGGGAUGGAAUUCCGCGUGUAGCAGUGAAAUGCGUAGAUAUGCGGAGGAACACCGAUGGCGAAGGCAACCCCCUGGGUUAACACUGACGCUCAUGCACGAAAGCGUGGGGAGCAAACAGG
rnacentral:rRNA from 1 species